rnacentral:rRNA from 1 species
CCUGACGACCAUAGAGCACUGGAACCACCUGAAUCCAUUCCGAACUCAGCAGUGAAACGGUGCAUCGCCGAUGGUAGUGUGGUGCUUUGCCACGUGAGAGUAGGUCAUCGUCAGGC